GCCCUUGUAAUAAUCAAAGGUGCAACCUGCCCAAUGAUUUUUAAGUAAAUAAAAUUAAUAGUUUUAAAAUAAAAUUUAAAGGACGCAGUAUCCUAACUGUGAUAAUGUAGCAUAAUCACUCGCCAUCUAAUUAAUGGAUAGUAUGAAUGGUUAAACGAAUAUUACACUGUCUUUAAUAUAAUACUCAUGAAAUUAAAAUAAUAGUUAAGAUGCUAUUUAAAACUGUAAGACGAAAAGACCCUAUAGAGCUUCACUACAUUUUCUUUUAACAAAAUUUUAUAAUAUAAUAAAAAUAAUAAAGAAAAAGGUAGUUUAGUUGGGGAGACUAUCUUCUAUAAAAAACGAAGACAAGCAAUGUUAAUGAAAAACUUAUUGUAUAAUAAAUAAAUUUAACAAUUAUAAAAAUAGGCCAUAAUGACCCAUUAAGAUUAAGUAAUAAACUUAAUGAUUAAUAAAUAAAAGCUACCUUAGGGAUAACAGGAUAAUUUUGUUCUAGAGACCCUAUCGAAAACAAAGUUUGUCACCUCUAUGUUGAAUUAAGAUAUCCAGAUAAUGCAGAAGUUAUCAAAGGUAGGUCUGUUCGACCUUUAAAAUCUU
rnacentral:rRNA from 1 species